GGUAGAUCCUUUGAAUAGAUAGCCUUGAGUGUGUCCUUGUUGCACCAGUAGGCCUUGUCCAACUCCCCAUCUUCCAGGAGAUACACAUAUUAAAGUUUAAAAUGAUCCUUUUCCUAAUCCUUUGUUGUCUUGAGGCUCUCCCCUGCAGGAACUCCAGGAACUCCUGGUGCCACCUGGGCCGAUGGAUUGGACGCCCCAGCCCCUCCGUUCCUGCCCAGCCACUGGGUCCGUGUCCAGUGGUGGCACUGCCAGCCCUGCAGUGGGAUGUAGCCUGGAAACUGCAGAGAGCUGAGCCAAGGGAUUGAAAGGGACCAAGCAAGGGAGGUGAAGAAAGAAGGAAGAAGGGAAGUGAGGCAGCAGCCAAGCAGCAGCAAGUUGCUGUGUAAGCAGUUUGGUGUUUACAGAGGGAUAAUAACUCCUGUCAGCAGCAAGGUCCUGACUGAAGUGGCAGCUGCAGUUGUUCCUGUGGUGUGGGCCAGUGGAAUUCCAAGAAAUGGACAAGGACAGAAGCU